GUCGUCAUCGCGAGCGCCUGAGGCAGGAGGACAGAGGAGCCCUUCCCGUUGCCGGUGCCGGCCUUGUGUCUUGGAAUUACUUUGCUCAAAACUAGAAGCAAAAUACAGUUAUCUAACUUGUAGAAGUAGAAGAACGAAAUAGAUCUGCAGGCAGGCUUUUAUCCUGACCAGAAGCCCACCUCAGCAGCUUUAUCCGUCCAGAGGCCCACCUUCAGCUGAACGUUCAGGUGACUUUUAUCCUGACCAGGAGCCCACCUUCAGCUGGUUACAUCAGUGACUCCCUUCCUUGGUUAGAAACCUGCCUCAGGUUUUCUGCUGUCAGGCCAAGUCCUUGUUUGAGUCCCUGCAUUUCUGGCUCCCCACAUUUGACCACCUUUCAGUUCUCCCCUUAUCCCCACCCCACCUCUGAAAACCACAAAUCUAAUCUUUUUUUUUAUGAGUUUGGUUUGUUUCUUUGUUUUUAGAGACGCAUACAAAUGAGAUCAUACAGUAUUUGUGUGCUCUGUCUGACUUAUUUAACUUAGCAUAAUGCCCUAAAGCCCAUCAUGUUGUCACAGGAUGGCAGGAUUUCCUCUUUUUAUGGGCUGAAAAUACUCCAUUAUAUGCAUAUACAUAUGUAUAUAUACCACAACUUCUUUUCUGUUCAUGCGUUGAUGGACACUUAGGUUGUUCCAUGUCUUAGCUAUUGUGUAUGAUGCAAUUAUGAACAUGGGGAUACAGUAUCUUGGCAUAGUGUUUCUGUUUCCAUAGUGGCUGAACAGUUUACAUUCCCACCAGUAGUGUACAAGGUCCCCUUUCUCCACAUACUUCUCAGCAUUUAUCUACUCAAUUUGAUGCUAGUCAUCUAAGAUGUGAGGUGUUUUGGAGGUCCCUGUAUAUUUUAGUUAUUAACCCCUUAUCAGAUAAUAUGGUUUGGAAAUAUUUUCUCCCAUUCCAUAGGUUGUCUUUUAAUUUUAUUGAUGGUUUCUUGCUGUACAGCAGCUUUUUAGUUUGAUGUAGUCCUACUUGUUUUUCAUUUGUUGGCUAUGCUUUAGAUGUCUAAGAUGUCUUCCUAAAUCCUACAUCACGAACUUUUUUCCUGUGUAGGAGUUUUAUAAUUUCAGGUGUUACACUGAAGUCUUUAUCCACUUCAAGUUAAUUUGUGAGUAGUGUAAGAUAGGAGGCUUGUUUCAUUCUUUUAUACAUAGAUCUUUUAGAACCUUGAUACUGGAAAGAACUAAAACAUGUUCAUUAUGACUGAGAGGAUGGUAUGUCUUGAGAUUUGCAUAAGUAUUAUUUUCUAAUAUUCCUUACAGACUUUCCUUCCAAUAUCAAGCACUGCUUAGGUUUUCUUAGCUGUGUGGUGUAGUGGCAGGUCCCCACCUGUGACAAUAAAGCCCUACUAUCAGUAGUCUUAAUUUCUAUAUUUCAAAAGCCUGUCGGAAAUCAUGGACUAUAAAGUGUAUGUCUAAGCUAAGUAAUGAUUAAUAGGCCGUAAAUGACUACAAGCCAAAAUGGCAGGUUACUUUUUAUUUUGGAUUAGAAAAUAGCAUUAACUUGUAGUAAACUGGUAAUAUUCUUCAUUCGAAUAUAACUGGAAACCUUCCCAGACUCGCUCUUAAAAAUGAGCUGUGGCUCUUGUUGUGCAUUCUUCUUUCACUUCACUUCCACAUGAACUGACAGGAUCAUCUUAUAAGUUCUCUGAAAUAUAAACUGGAAAGCAUUUGGUCAACAAAGAAUGGUCUUCCUGCUUUCCUGAAAGCUUCAAACUUGUUACUACCCUCAGAACCUUUCUGAGUGGCUAUCUCCACUGCCUGGAUUAUUCUUCCCCCAGAAAUUCAAAUGGCUUGCUUGUUCCUUUUAAUAAAGUCUCUUCUGUGAUAACCCUUUCUCCCCCAUCUCCUAUCCUCUUUUAUCUUCAUAACAGUAUGUACUCCCUUACAUCUUUGUUUUUGUUUAUGAGAGUUUGCCCUAUUGGACCUAGAAUUUCAUGAGAUCAAGAACAUGCCUUUCUUUUUUCUCUGCAGUAUUUAUAGUGGCUAGGAAAAUCCUGAAACAUAGUUAGUGCAUAAUAUUUGAAGGAAUUUUGGAGUUUGUUUUAACAUUUUCAUGAUCCUGGGAUUAAGGUAAAUAAGACAGGUGUGGUACUUGUUUACAGGUUUUGCACUUUUUAUAAUCUUGUUUAAUUUGGAGCCUAAAUAAAUCUAAAGUGAUAUAAAGCUGAUAGAUUGAAUAUAUUUGCUGUUUCUUUGAUAUAUUUGUUACUUGCCUUUAGGUAUUCAUUCCUAUGGGAGAAGACAAUGAUAAUACAAGGUGGUUAUUUAGUUAUUUGAUCUGUUUAUUGACCUAAAAGAUCUUCAAAAUUAUGAUUCAGCUCCUUAUCAGCUUCUGCCUGAAGUAGCUUUUUAAAAGUGAAGUGAAUCUCCUCAAAUCACAGUUAAUGACAAGAUAGUAUUUUAAGCUGGUCUUCUGACUUUUAAGUCCAAUAUUUUUUUAGCUGCUAGAUGGUUUCCAAAUGAAAUAUUCAGAAAUCCUCCUUAUUAGAAUAGAUUAUUUUUCUUCUCUGUUUCUACAUAUGGAAGCACCAUCUAUUGUAUGUUAAGUUAUACUAACGGGCUUCUGAUGAUGUAAAAGAUGAUCAUGGAAACUAUUUUUCUUUGGCUGAAUUUGUAAUUUUAGUUAUGUAAUAUAAAAACAUAUAGAAAAGUGUAGAAUAAAAGAUUUCUGCAUAUCCACCACAGAGAAUAAAAAAAUGUUAACAUUAAAAAAAAAUGACAGCCAUGUAUCUUGCCCUUGUGUUAUUUGUCCUUUUAUCAAAGAACAUUGUAGUAUGCUUGGCACAUAAUAGCCACUUCUAAUAAGUGUUAAACUUGUAAAGUGACAAAACUAAAACAAUUUAGUAAGGAGUUUGAUGUCACUUAUUCAAAGGAAAACAACCACGGAUUAGGGGAGUGUAGCACCUGACAAGCAAGAGAGCACAAAAGAGUUUUAUAGAGGAUUAGAAAAGCUUGGCCAGGAGAUGGAGAAUCUCCUUAUAAGGCUGUGUGUCUUGUUUUUAGGGAAGGUAAGCUAGGUAAAGCUCAGGUGGAAGACUGCCAUUUGUUUAUAUUAGGUUUCCUUGACAGAUGUUUCCUAUAAGUGCAUGUUGAUUUAGGUUUAGAUUUGUUCUGUGGGCCCAGCCACUGUGCUGGCCUCCAUUUUGUGGGUCCUAUAAACCAAUUAAUUCUAUCAAACACUCAAGAAUCUGUAAUUAGUAGUUAUAGAUGUCUGAUUCAAAAUAAGAAACUUAAUUAUCUGACAUGUUUUAUAGUCACAGGUACGCAUUUAUGAAUGACAUUCAAUUAGUUGUAAUUUUGCUAGGCUUACAUUCAACCAACCCAUCCCUUCAUAUAGAACUAGCAGAAAUGGAGUUCCCGUCGUGGCACAGUGGAAACGAAUCCGACUAGAACCACGAGUUUGCAGGUUGCAUCUCUGGCCUCGCUUAGUGGGUUAAGGAUCCGGGUGCCAGUGAGUGGUGUAGUCACAGACUCGGCUUGGAUCUGGCCUUGUUGUGGCUGUGGUGUAGGCCGGCAGCUAUAGCUCCAAUUAGACCCCUAGCUUGGGAACCAACAUGUGCCGUGAGUGCGACCCUAAAAAAAAAAAAAAAAAGAAAAAAAAAAA
rnacentral:lncRNA from 9 species